rnacentral:tRNA from 1 species
GCAUUUUUUGUUGCGGGUUACGGGCGACAGCAUGACUGGUGCAGGAAUUUUGCCGAAUGAUUUGGUGGUGGUGCGAUCCCAGCAGGAUGCA